rnacentral:rRNA from 1 species
UACAGAGGUCUCGAGCGUUGUUCGGAUUCAUUGGGCGUAAAGGGUGCGUAGGUGGCGGGGUAAGUCAGGUGUGAAAUCCCGGGGCUCAACCCCGGAACUGCAUUUGAUACUGCCUUGCUCGAGUACUGGAGAGGAGACUGGAAUUUACGGUGUAGCAGUGAAAUGCGUAGAUAUCGUAAGGAAGACCAGUGGCGAAGGCGAGUCUCUGGACAGUUACUGACACUGAGGCACGAAGGCCAGGGGAGCAAACGGG